AGCAUGCAAGUCAAACGGGAUGUAGUAAUACAUCUAGUGGCGAACGGGUGAGUAACGCGUGGAUGAUCUACCUAUGAGAUGGGGAUAACUACUAGAAAUAGUGGCUAAUACCGAAUAAAGUCAGUUAGUUUGUUAAUUGAUGAAAGGAAGCCUUUAAAGCUUCGCUUGUAGAUGAGUCUGCGUCUUAUUAGUUAGUUGGUAGGGUAAAUGCCUACCAAGGCGAUGAUAAGUAACCGGCCUGAAAGGGUGAACGGUCACACUGGAACUGAGAUACGGUCCAGACUCCUACGGGAGGCAGCAGCUAAGAAUCUUCCGCAAUGGGCGAAAGCCUGACGGAGCGACACUGCGUGAAUGAAGAAGGUCGAAAGAUUGUAAAAUUCUUUUAUAAAUGAGGAAUAAGCUUUGUAGGAAAUGACAGAGUGAUGACGUUAAUUUAUGAAUAAGCCCCGGCUAAUUACGUGCCAGCAGCCGCGGUAAUACGUAAGGGGCAAGCGUUGUUCGGGAUUAUUGGGCGUAAAGGGUGAGUAGGCGGAUAUAUAAGUCUAUGCAUAAAAUACCACAGCUCAACUGUGGAACUAUGUUGGAAACUAUAUGUCUAGAGUCUGAUAGAGGAAGUUAGAAUUCCUGGUGUAAGGGUGGAAUCUGUUGAUAUCAGGAAGAAUACCGGAGGCGAAGGCGAACUUCUGGGUCAAGACUGACGCUGAGUCACGAAAGCGUAGGGAGCAAACAGGAUUAGAUACCCUGGUAGUCUACGCUGUAAACGAUGCACACUUGGUGUUAA
rnacentral:rRNA from 1 species